rfam:TPA: Bos taurus chromosome 17, whole genome shotgun sequence.
UUCCUGAUGAUCCAGUGGCUAAGAUUUUGUGCUCCCAAUGCAGGGGGCCCAGGUUCGAUCCCUGGUCAGGGAA